rnacentral:rRNA from 1 species
CGUAGGUGGCAAGCGUUGUCCGGAUUUACUGGGCGUAAAGCGUAUGCAGGCGGAUGGUUAAGUAGGAAGUGAAAGGUUGGAGCUCAACUCUAACACUGCUCCCUAUACUGGCCGUCUUGAGUGCCGGAGAGGACAAGGGAACUUCACGUGUAGCGGUGAAAUGCGUUGAGAUGUGAAGGAACACCAAUGGCGAAAGCACUUGUCUGGACGGAAACUGACGCUGAGAUACGAAAGCCAAGGGAGCGAACAGGAUUAGAUACCCUGGUAGUCUUGGCCAUAAACGAUGUUCACUAGGUGUCGGGGGUUCCCCUCGGUGCCGCAGCUAACGCAUUAAGUGAACCGCCUGGGGACUACGGCCGCAAGGUUG